rnacentral:rRNA from 1 species
UUACUGUAGCUUGACAUUGGGUCUUGGUACUACAUGUACAGGAUAGGUGGGAGGCUUUGAAACCAGGACGCCAGUUUUGGCGGAGCCAUCCUUGGGAUACCACCCUUGUAGUACUGGGACUCUAACCCUAGGCCAUGAAUCUGGUCUUGGGACACUGUCAGGUGGGCAGUUUGACUGGGGCGGUCGCCUCCCAACAGGUAACGGAGGCGCUCAAAGGUUCUCUCAGUACGGUCGGAAAUCGUACGUAGAGUGUAAAGGCAAAAGAGAGCUUGAUUGCAAGACAUACAGGUCGAGCAAGGAUGAAAAUCGGACUUAGUGAUCCGGUGGUUCUGCGUGGAAGGGCCAUCG